AUCAAUUAAGCGGAGGAAAAGAAACCAACAGGGAUUGCCCUAGUAACGGCGAGUGAAGCGGCAACAGCUCAAAUUUGAAAUCUGGCUCUUUCAGAGUCCGAGUUGUAAUUUGCAGAGGGCGCUUUGGCUUUGGCAGCGGUCCAAGUUCCUUGGAACAGGACGUCACAGAGGGUGAGAAUCCCGUACGUGGUCGCUAGCUAUUGCCGUGUAAAGCCCCUUCGACGAGUCGAGUUGUUUGGGAAUGCAGCUCUAAAUGGGAGGUAAAUUUCUUCUAAAGCUAAAUAUUGGCCAGAGACCGAUAGCGCACAAGUAGAGUGAUCGAAAGAUGAAAAGCACUUUGGAAAGAGAGUCAAACAGCACGUGAAAUUGUUGAAAGGGAAGCGCUUGCAGCCAGACUUGCUUGCAGUUGCUCAUCCGGGCUUUUGCCCGGUGCACUCUUCUGUAGGCAGGCCAGCAUCAGUUUGGGCGGUGGGAUAAAGGUCUCUGACACGUUCCUUCCUUCGGGUUGGCCAUAUAGGGGAGACGACAUACCACCAGCCUGGACUGAGGUCCGCGCAUCUGCUAGGAUGCUGGCGUAAUGGCUGUAAGCGGCCCGUCUUGAACCAACGGA
rnacentral:rRNA from 1 species